CCCCAGCCUCUGUUUGAUAUGUUUGAUAUUAGGUUGUUCUACUGCAAAAUCCAACUAAAUAUCAAACAUAUUCUGAUAGCGGCCGGGA
rfam:Ophiophagus hannah scaffold47649.1, whole genome shotgun sequence.